AAACAAGAUAAUCAAAAUGGAAAAGUUUCUAUUGAUGCCAAUUGAUGCUGUUGAAGAGGUUAUGACAUUAAUAAUACAAAAAAAAAAGGGUUGUUGUUUUGUAUUUUUUUUUCAAUCAAUAACAACACAACAACAUUUGUCAUUCUAAUAUUUUUAUAAUUAAAUUUCUAACAACAAAUGAUUAUUUUACAUUAAAAUUUAGAAUAAUAAUAUUUUUAAUAACAUAAAUAGUUCCAGCCAGUUCAAACAGUAUCAAUUAAUACAUUGAAAAAUAUAAAUAAAAUAAAACCCAAAAAUUGGAUUAAGGCACUUCAUACUUCUGUUGAAGUUGUAAAGAGUGAAUGUUUAGGGUCAUUGAGAACAACUUUGAUCAUGCCGAAUUCUGAUGAAUUAAAUGCAGCUGAGAUGCAAAAAAUUUAAAACAGUAUUCUCAAGGAAACACUUUAUUUACUUUGCAUGUAAGAAAUAUUAUCAAUUUUGUAAUUUUAAGCUGCAUAUAAUGGCAAUUGAUAUUUUAUUUUUCAAGUGGAAUAAAAUCCACAACAACAAUUGAAGAGUGGAAAAAUAAUUCUGGGUUUCUGGUGGAUACAUGACAUUCAAUCAAACUUUAUCAUCUUUUAGAAUAUUUGGAUUUGAAGAUAAAAAAGCAAUGGCUUGGAAAUGUGAUCUUGAAAUAUGUGAUAUCAAGAUCAAAAUAAAUGCAUACAUUUUGGAAACUAUUAUCUUUGUUGCUGAUGUUGGAAUUAAACAAGAUGAUCUAAAUGGAAAAGUUUCUAUUGAUGCUGUUGAAGAGGUUGUGACAUUAAUAAUACAAAAAAAGGGUUGUUGAUUCUGAUCUUGAUCAAGAUACAAUUG